rnacentral:lncRNA from 1 species
UUGGGUAGUUCGUGUUUUGGAGUCGAGAUAUUUGUUUGUGUUUUGAAGUGAAGUUUUUGUCAGUGUAUGUGCUUACACCUACCAAAAACAAAAUUAUACAAAUUAUAAUAAACAAUUAAAACGCUGCGUCCUAGUUUGGCUGUAGUUUGUUUACCUUGAACAUUUCCAUAAUGGCUUUUGAGUGCCAUAUAUGUAAAAAGUCUUUUGGAAAGAAAUCCAAUUUUAAUAGACACCUUGCAGAAGUUCAUAAACUAAAUAAACCUUCUAGUAGUGAUAGUAAUACAAAACUGGGAAACAAUCGCAAUUGGAACAAGGAGAUGAUGACAAUCUUUGUGGCAUUAUUUUUUCAAACAUAAAAUCUGUAAUUGAGCAUUUACAGAUCACUCAUAAUAAGAGCUUUAAUAUUGAGUUGAAUCAGAUGGAACACAUGCAAGAAUUUACACAAUGGAAAAUCAAUAUAGAGGCUCAAAAUAAAUGUUGUUACAUUCUGAAAUCAAAGAAAUCUAGUACAAGUGGUGAUAUACUACAUUAUAUAUGCAAUAGUGCAAAGCAAGUUAUACACCACUUUUCAAUGAGUGCAGAAAAAGACUGCAAAAAAGUCAAGGGUCAUGUAAAUUAGAGCACAACUGCACCAGUUUUAUUAAUGUUAAAAAUGAAAGUGGUGCGUUACUGGUUGAAUGGCAAAAAGAACAUUACGGCCACACAAACGAUUUGGAGCAUAUAAGAAUUCCUUCACAUGAAAAGGAAAGUAUUGCCUCCAAACUCAUAAGUGAAGUUCCUUCUCGAAGGAUUUUGGAAACAAACCGAGAUAGAAUUGGAACUGACUUAAAAAGAAUUGAUCUUUUAACGCAUCAAGAUAUCAAAAACAUUCCAGCAGCUUUGAAGUUGCUGGAAAAGAUGGAAAGCGAAGUAAAGAUCUCAGUUGAGUUGUGGGUCAGAGAAUGUGAAGCCUGGGAUGUAAAUCCCAUUUUAUUUUAUAAGCGACAAGGGCAAGAGCAUGCCAUUCUAAAGAAAGAUUUUUGUCUUGUGAUUAUGAACAACUUUCAAAGGAAUAUGAUCAAAAAAUUAUUACUAUUGACAGCAUGGGUGGCUAUAGUGCAUAGCUAAUAGAUGAAUUUCACCAUGGUUUUCCCAUUGCUGAAAUGUUUUCAAACAGAAAGGAUACCACCAUUCAACAUCUCUAUUUUUCUCUUAUAAAGGAAACAGUAGGUGAAGUUUGUUCUGAAAUAUUCAUGUCAGAUAUGGACGGAACAUUUUUUAAUGCAUGGAUUAUGGUGAUGGGAGUAAAACCUGACCACUUGUUUUGCUCUUGGCAUGUAGACAGGGAGUGGCAAAGUAAUCUUACUAAGAUUGGUGAUAAGGAAAAGCGUGCUUCUGUUUAUAAACUGUUAAAAACUUUAUAACAACACACAGUACUAGAUCAUUUUUCCUCACCUUUAGCAAGUGCCAUGCAAAAUUUAUGCAGUGAUCCAAGCACUAAAAAAUUUGAGAACAUUCUUCCAUUAAUACGAAUAUGCAUUUAGAAUCAAUGCAUAAAGUCAUUAAAUAUUUUUACUUAGAGAGAAAAACAGUGAAGCGUUUGGAUAAAGGGUUAAAUGUUGUCUUACAAUAUGUGAGGGAUAAGAGCAUUGAAAGGAUAAUAAGAUUGACUAAGGGAGAACAUACAAAAACUACAUCUAUAUUAUCUCGAAAUCAUUGGGAUUCAAUUAAAGAAAUGUCUCAAUAUUCCUUAUUAAAUUGUGCUAAUUAUUGGAAAAUUAAAAAAAAAUUAAUACAUCCUCAUAUUAUGAGGUUAAUCAAAAACUUGAUAAAAACUGCCAACAAAUAUGUGUAAUUUGUAAAAUAUGUAACCAUUUGUAUUCAUGUACUUGUAAUUUUUUUGUAAAAAAACAGACUAUGUGUAAACAUAUUCAUAUUAUUAUUUCUAGCAUAAAUGCAAUGGAUAUUGAGGUAAAUGAGUAUGUCAAUUCAAAAUCGUCUAAUUCACCUGAAGAUAAGACUAAUCUUAUAUUAAGUCAUUUGAAGGAAAUUUCUUUUUCUUCCCUAAAAAUAACAGACAAGCAAACAAAUGAAAAAAUAAUUAAAAUAAAAGCUUCAACUGCUGAUUUAGGAAAUUCCACUUUUGAGGGACUUAAUGACUCGGUAAUAGAUCAAAUUCACCACUGUCUAAUUGUAGCUAAGAACUUAAAUAGAUGCCACGAGGAACCCUUAUUAAACGAACAAUUUCAAGUAAAAAAUAAGCAGUUAAAAAGAGUUAUCGAACCCCAAUUAAGAUUUAGUUCCACCAAAAAGAAAAGGGUUGAAACAGCUACCAGCUUUAAAAGACCAACGACUCAAGAGGUUUUAGAUAUAAAAGAAAACCUAAAAUUUAAUAAUCCUUUUGAUCAUUUUAUUGCUAAAUCUGUAUCACCUUCACAUUUAUGUAUUUAUUUAUUCAAUCAAUAUACGGGAAACCCCAUUUUACAAAAGAUUUGGUUACAAUAUUAAAUAAAGUAAAAAAUGUAUAAUUAACAGAAUAAAAGUACUUUCACGAACAUAACUAGACAGUCUUCAAAACAUAUACACAAGAAAUAAACACAAUAAGAAAACAAUAAAUUAAGAUAUUUGACCCAGUUGACCAAUAAAUCCAGAGAGUGAGCUUGCAAAUGGAUCAAGUUCAGGGUGAGAGUUUAAAUAGGCAAGAUUACGACAGAUUGGAGAAUGUAAUAAAUAGUUGGAGUGACAGAUUGGUAAAGCAAACAGUUCAUGUCUCCUUAGGGUGCGUGCAGGGACCUUUAAAUUAAAGCUGUUGAUGAGAGCAGGGCAAUCAAUAAGCCCAUGAAUAACCUUAUACAUAAAGCUGAGGUAACUUUGAAUCCUUCUAGAUUCCAACGAUUGAAGUCCCAAUAUUGCCUCCAUGUCAAGUAGGUUAUCCUGCAUAUUCAACUUGUAGGAACAGUACCGGGUAAACCUCUUUUGGACUCUUUCAAGUUGCAUUUUGUGACAAUUAUAAAAAGGAGACCAAAUGAUCGAGGCAUACUCUAAAUGAAUUCUAACUAAUGAACAAUAAAGUAUCUUCAAAGUAGAUAUAGACAUGUCACGACAAGUUCGUAAAACAAAACCUAACAUCUGAGAGGCCUUCCCCUCCACAAAAUCACAGUGUUCCCCAAAUUUGAGCUGGGUAUCAAAGACUACUCCUAAAUCCUUCAUUGAGUCAACAGAACUAAGUACUAUGUCAUCAAUAGUGUAUAUAUUAUUCAUUUAAUUUUUAAGUCUAGAGAAUCCAAUUGAGUAGCACUUAUUUAUAUUUAAAGAGAGAUCAUUCAUAUUAGCCCACUUUACAAAAGAAGUAAGAUUGUGUUGUAAGAUAUCAGAGUCCCGCUGUGACUUAAUAACACGGAAAAGUUUCAAAUCGUCUGCAUAUGCUAAGUAAUCACAGUCAGUUAAACACGUUACAAGGUCAGUCAGAAUACAUCAAAAAGCAAUGGGGAACAGUGUCCCCCUUGAGGAACUCCAGAAGUCACCAAGAUACUUCCAGAUUCAGAAUCUCCAAUCCUAACACGCUGCUCACGACCCAGCAGCAUGCUUCUAAACCACCUUAGGGAUCUUUCACUAAAGCCAAGGGAACUAAGUUUUGCUAGUAAUAACUCAUGAUUGACCCUGUCGAAUGAUCACGAGUAUUUUUAAUUUUGUUAUGAAAUAAUUUCAGCCUAACAAUUAGACUUAUAUACUAUAUACAGGGUAAACUUGUGUAUCUGGGAUCUUGUUUGGAAAUAGUUUGCUGUGCGAUUUAGUAAUAUAUUGGUAGUAAAUGAUGUAGGUUUAGUUUUGUGAUGUUAUCAUUAGUUAGUUAGAUACAAUAAAACAUUUUAAUGUUAAAAAAAUUCCUACCAAAUGCUAAAUGUUUAAACCUUUUUUAUUUUAUUUAAAGAGUGUUCUACAAUAGAAUUAAUAUUCCAUUUUAUUUAUUAUAUUACAUUUUUUUAUAAAACAUACAAACAUGUGUAUCUGUAAAUAAAAGAUAAAUAAUU